rnacentral:rRNA from 1 species
GGAAAGUCGCACGGUACAGGGUGAUAGUCCCGUACACAAAAAUGCAUAUGUUGUGAGUUCGAUGAGUAGGGCGGGACACGUGACAUCCUGUCUGAAUAUGGGGGGACCAUCCUCCAAGGCUAAAUACUCCUGACUGACCGAUAGUGAACCAGUACCGUGAGGGAAAGGCGAAAAGAACCCCGGCGAGGGGAGUGAAAUAGAACCUGAAACCGUGUACGUACAAGCAGUGGGAGCACCUUCGUGGUGUGACUGCGUACCUUUUGUAUAAUGGGUCAGCGACUUAUAUUUUGUAGCAAGGUUAACCGAAUAGGGGAGCCGUAGGGAAACCGAGUCUUAACUGGGCGAAUAGUUGCAAGGUAUAGACCCGAAACCCGGUGAUCUAGCCAUGGGCAGGUUGAAGGUUGGGUAACACUAACUGGAGGACCGAACCGACUAAUGUUGAAAAAUUAGCGGAUGACUUGUGGCUGGGGGUGAAAGGCCAAUCAAACCGGGAGAUAGCUGGUUCUCCCCGAAAGCUAUUUAGGUAGCGCCUCGUGAACUCAUCUUCGGGGGUAGAGCACUGUUUCGGCUAGGGGGUCAUCCCGACUUACCAAACCGAUGCAAACUCCGAAUACCGAAGAAUGUUAUCACGGGAGACACACGGCGGGUGCUAACGUCCGUCGUGAAGAGGGAAACAACCCAGACCGCCAGCUAAGGUCCCAAAGUCAUGGUUAAGUGGGAAACGAUGUGGGAAGGCAUAGACAGCCAGGAUGUUGGCUUAGAAGCAGCCAUCAUUUAAAGAAAGCGUAAUAGCUCACUGGUCGAGUCGGCCUGCGCGGAAGAUGUAACGGGGCUAAACCAUGCACCGAAGCUGCGGCAGCGACACUUAGG